UGCAUGAGUGGGGGGGAGAGGCAGAGGAGAGGGAGAGAAUCCCAAGUAGCCUCCGUGCUGUCAGUGCAGAGCCCAACUCGGGGCUCGAACCCACGAACCGUGAAAUCACGACCUGAGCCGAAGUCGGACGCUCAACGGACUGAGCCAUCCAGGCACCCCACGAUCUGUGUGCUUUAACUCAAGGAAGGCGGCCUCCAGCAUAGUUUCCUAGUUACUGCUUGGAUAAAUGGGGCACCGAUAGGCCUAUCUAGAACCUUCCACAGUAUGGCGAAAAAGCUGCUCAACUCACUCCCCCAUUUUUCCUGUCCACUUCCUGUGGACGGCUUCCCUCAGCUUCAAGCCUGGAUCCAGUGCCCAGCAUGUGAAGACGCCUCCUCACCUGUGCUGAGCUGGGCCAGUGAGAGAACGACAGGGGUCUGAGCAGACCGUGCUGCCUCGCACAAGCCUCUGCUGUUCUCACCACCUCUGCACCUGCUCUCCUGACCCCUUAGGACCACAUCCUCCAGGGGGCAGAGAGGGGCUCCGGCCGGGGAACGAGUCCCACCUCCCACCACUUCCGGUCCAAAGGUGCAUCACCUUUGCAGAGGAGAAAGCCGAGGCACCGUGAGGUUUGGUGACCUGCCCAAGUGACGCGCCCCCAGGUAAAUGAUGCAGGCUUUGUCUCCAGACGGUCUGGCCCUGCACAGCGUCACCUUCACAAAGAGAGGCCCGUCCCAUCCACUGUCGCUAGAGGACAACGGACAGGGAAGGAGGAGGCAACGGAGGUCUGGCCACCCACCUGGCUGCUGGGACCCUGCCUUUCAUCCUGGAGCCUCCUGGUCCCCGCCCUGAGGGGCGGCAGAAACACAGCUGGAGUGAAGCUGUCACCAGCCCCCUUAAGUGAAUGUUCCCCAACCCGUCCAGAAACAGCCACGCCUGUUUAAUACGCUGCAACGAAAGCUCGGGAAGUAUGUUUA